rnacentral:ncRNA from 1 species
UAGCAUGGGAUAACAUCAUAGGAUUCCGGUCCUAUUGUGUUGGCCUUCGGGAUCGGAGUAAUGAUUAAUAGGGACAGUCGGGGGCAUUCGUAUUUCAUAGUCAGAGGUGAAAUUCUUGGAUUUAUGAAAGACGUGCAACUGCGAAAGCAUUUGCCAAGGAUGUUUUCAUUAAUCAAGAACGAAAGUUGGGGGCUCGAAGACGAUCAGAUACCGUCCUAGUCUCAACCAUAAACGAUGCCGACCAGGGA